UACAGAGGUCUCAAGCGUUGUUCGGAUUCAUUGGGCGUAAAGGGUGCGUAGGCGGCGUGGUAAGUCGGAUGUGAAAUCUCGGAGCUUAACUCCGAAACUGCAUUCGAUACUGCCGUGCUUGAGGACUGGAGAGGAGACUGGAAUUUACGGUGUAGCGGUGAAAUGCGUAGAUAUCGUAAGGAAGACCAGUGGCGAAGGCGGGUCUCUGGACAGUUCCUGACGCUGAGGCGCGAAAGCGUGGGGAGCAAACAGG
rnacentral:rRNA from 1 species